CAUUACUGAGUUUACGCUCUACAACCCUUUGUGAACAUACCUAUAACUGUUGCUUCGGCGGGUAGGGUCUCCGCGACCCUCCCGGCCUCCCGCCUCCGGGCGGGUCGGCGCCCGCCGGAGGAUAACCAAACUCUGAUUUAACGACGUUUCUUCUGAGUGGUACAAGCAAAUAAUCAAAACUUUUAACAACGGAUCUCUUGGUUCUGGCAUCGAUGAAGAACGCAGCGAAAUGCGAUAAGUAAUGUGAAUUGCAGAAUUCAGUGAAUCAUCGAAUCUUUGAACGCACAUUGCGCCCGCCAGCAUUCUGGCGGGCAUGCCUGUUCGAGCGUCAUUUCAACCCUCAAGCUCUGCUUGGUGUUGGGGCCCUACAGCUGAUGUAGGCCCUCAAAGGUAGUGGCGGACCCUCUCGGAGCCUCCUUUGCGUAGUAACUUUACGUCUCGCACUGGGAUCCGGAGGGACUCUUGCCGUAAAACCCCCAAUUUUCCAAAGGUUGACCUCGGAUCAGGUAGGAAUACCCGC
rnacentral:rRNA from 1 species